rnacentral:miRNA from 14 species
GAAAUGCCGCCAUGAGAUCCAGCUGUAAGGAAUUUUCUCAAUGAGUGAUCAAGGGGGAAGGGCCCCCUGUGGGUGGUACCAUUCCUGGGCUGGUAGUCUUG